UACUUCUAAAAGGUAGUACCGACAAAAUAAUGCCUUUUUAAAAAUGUGCUGAUGCAUACUUGAUUGUUAGAUAUGUUUUUAUUUUACUCCAAGUACGGGAGGGGGCCCACCACCAUAUUCUUAAAGCCGGGCCCACGUGUACCUUGCUACGCCACUAGGCCUACAUAAAUAAUAGGCCCGUUAAAACACAUUAAGACUACACAAA